UCUAAAUGGACACCCGAUUACACUACAAUCACCCCAUUAAAAGGAGGAAAUCAUCAUAGCUACCAUUCAUAUGGUAUGUUUGGUACGCGUUACCUUUGAAUAAUGAUUCAGAACCACACAUCGUACUGUGUGAUACGCGACCCUUUCAAUGGUGAUUUUAACUGAGACUGCGUGCGCAUGUUCAUCAUAGAAGCCAAACCCAACGUUCCCCGGGAGUUUUUAGUGUAAAAUUCCUGGGUUUUGCGGGAAAUUGUCUUUGAGCUUUUGAUCGGGAGUGUACCGUGUAAUAUUUACAGGAAGACACCUCAUAAGGGAUAACAUCAGGAGCAUCCUUGUGUCUUAUCAUGAACGGGGUAUGAAAAGGAGGUCCUCAGCCCUGGUGACGGAGGCUGCAGGAGCUACGUGACUACCUGUGUCUGUAGUUAAGGUGUAAACACAACUGGACCACAGGAGGGUCGGAGGAGCCAAGCAGAUCUAGUUCAGGCAGUUAAAGACGUCUUCAAUUCUAAAUUUAAUGAAUGUGGUGGAAAAGGUCGGAUCCCCUACCGCUCUUGUGAGGAGUGGACCAUCGUCAUUAGAUGUCUGGGGCAUGAGUUAACCAUCAAGCGACCGUCAUGUUUUGGAAAGAAACGGCUGGAAGACAUACUGGCAAAGGCAGGGGACUUCAAAUUUGAAAUGAUCCCCCCCAGACGUGGCGAGGGCCAGCCAGGCCCCAGUGGACCUCCAAUCCCCCAAAGAUGUGGCAAGGGCCAGCCGGGCCCCAGUGGACCUCCAGUCCCAUCCAGAUAUGGUGAGGGCCAGCCGGGCCCCAGUGGACCUCCAGCCCCCCCAAGAAGUGGCGAGGGCCAGCCGGGCCCCAGUGGACCUCCGGGACCCCCCAGACCCCUUGUUACAUCCAUACCUGAUCAGCCGACCUUUGUGGUUUCUUCUGGGUAUCCUGCCUUGGAUACUUUUCUGGGUCUGCCUGUCUUGCCUGGACCCCCCGGGCCCCCAGAGUCCUGCAGUUGCUGGGUCAGUGGGACCCAUAACUGACACUCUUGCCCACGCCAUGCUGGUGUCAGAUAUAACCCCAGACACCCUGGUGACAUUGGACAUCUCCCAACUUGAUGAACAUUUGAAGUAGAACAAAUCCUCUUAUUAAUUUUUUGGUGGUUAAUAAAGGGCAGACAGACAAGUUCUCUACUUUCUCCCCUUGUCACUUGCCUUCUUUGUUGCAGUAAUGCUGCAAUCAGUUGGUUGCAUGUACAGUAUGUAUACAUCCUAUUCAUAAUAUUGUUAAUAAAGAUAAUAUAAUUUUUAAACAAUCUA